AGUGAACGCUGGCGGUAGACCUAACACAUGCAAGUCGAACGGCAGCACAGUAAGAGCUUGCUCUUACGGGUGGCGAGUGGCGGACGGGUGAGGAAUACAUCGGAAUCUACUUUUUCGUGGGGGAUAACGUAGGGAAACUUACGCUAAUACCGCAUACGACCUACGGGUGAAAGCAGGGGAUCUUCGGACCUUGCGCGACUGAAUGAGCCGAUGUCGGAUUAGCUAGUUGGCGGGGUAAAGGCCCACCAAGGCGACGAUCCGUAGCUGGUCUGAGAGGAUGAUCAGCCACGCUGGAACUGAGACACGGUCCAGACUCCUACGGGAGGCAGCAGUGGGGAAUAUUGGACAAUGGGCGCAAGCCUGAUCCAGCCAUACCGCGUGGGUGAAGAAGGCCUUCGGGUUGUAAAGCCCUUUUGUUGGGAAAGAAAAGCAGCAGGUUAAUACCCCGCUGUUCUGACGGUACCCAAAGAAUAAGCACCGGCUAACUUCGUG
rnacentral:rRNA from 1 species